UGUGAUAUUCAGGAAAGGCCCCCGAUCUGCUGUUGUCAGGCCGAGCCGAGUGUUUCCUCGCUGUGAUCCAGGGAGCUGUUGAGCUUCACUUGAGCUCAAUGCUUCAAAACAUAAAUGUUAGAGCUGUUUCCUUAAUGUGCUGUGCAGUGGAAGUCUCUCGCUCGUGGCCUUCGUGACCCACAGCUCCUGAACCUCGGCUGCCACUGAGAGCCUUAACCCACUGGAACACACACCGGAAACGCUACAGGAACACACUGCAUGCAGUGGGAAGGUUUCCACUACUGUGCUGAAUGCUAAUGGUGUUACUAUGGAAGCUUGUGUCCGCCACAGAAUGAUAAAUAAAAAAGUGAUCCAUCAUUUGGGCGUGGAGUUGAGCCUCUUCAGCGAUCUGAUCCUGGUGACAUGAUGCUGGACACUCGUAUGUCAGGCACAACUUAAACCCAAAUAACUUCAUCCCUUCAAACACCGAAUGUGAGAAAAAAGUGUUUAGCGUCUCGCUGAGCCGAAGUGGUUUGGUGCCGGCCUCCCCGAAGCGGCAGCUGGCCGGGAUAAGGUUACGAUUUCACCUGUGCACUGCAGCGGCGCAGGAACUGGCGUGUCAUUGAGGAGCGGACACUAACUAUUGCAUCUCGGCCAUAUGGGAAGGCAAUCCUGGAAGUGUUUCAGUGGAUUCCUCCCGGCGCCGUCACUGCACUUCCUACGGCUGAUUUACGGCUCAGAUGUUGUACAUUCUUGAGUUUGUUCGAGCGGAUCCCUCCUCAUGAGCGGAGGCUUGACUUUCCCAAAGCUGAUAUUAAUAUCACAGACCAUUGUGAUGGAGUUAUUUUCAUGGAAGCCCAGGAGGAAGUCAUGUGACUCUAAUUAGUCCCCGGGGGCCGCAGGGUCUCCAUUACGUGUCUUGUUUUAACUCACAUAACCAUCAAUGAAGUGGAAAGGCUGAGGAAGUAGCAAUCACUGCGCCUGGGCGGCUGGUUUUAUUUUAAUGUUUUCCUGAGCACCCAUUCUGUUAAUGGGCCCAAAAUCUGCGAGAAGAAAAAACGCUCUUCUCUCCUUUUCCCCCUUGACGUUUUUCAGCUUUAAAAAAUGAGCGAGUGAUCAUGCGAGCGUUUACACUGAUCCACUAGCAGGGAAGAUUAAUGAUUCUGGGAUUUGUUGGUUCACACCCUGUUCAUCACAUGGGACAAAAUCAGGAAUGACGGACGGACUCGCACGUACUCGACCAUUAAAUGUGUCGCAGCACCUUAUGAACUCUAAUAGAAGAAUUCAAUAUGCUGGUGUUGUCAUUUCAGAAAGUAUUUCUAUAAAAGUGUUGGUAACACUUUAAGGCUUCACUGGUUAAGUGAACAAUACCU